rnacentral:tRNA from 1 species
GCACCUGUGGCCGAGUGGUUGAAGGCACUGGACUCAUAAUCCAUUUUCGUAAGAUCUUCACUGGUUCGAAUCCAGUCAGGUGUA